rnacentral:rRNA from 11 species
UCCUAGGGCCUAAAUAUCCCAAAAACACUAGAUCUGGCCUGAUCUUGGAAUCCAAGCUGGGUCAAUCCUAGUUAGUACUUGAAUGGGAGAUUGCCAAUGAACAUCAGGUGCCAUGGAAU